AACAUACAUAUACAUAUAUGGAAUUAAAAAUUAUAUAAAAACAAUUUGAGGACAAAAAACUCACAAUGUUUAAGAACUUUGAUUAACACCUAAAUACAGCGCAUCUGUACCAUCUUUUGUGGUAGCUUUGUCAAUACUAAAAUAAUAAACAUUUUUAUUUGUAAUCAUAAACAAGAAAUGUAAGCGGCCGCAAUGUUGUCCGUAUCUUCUUUUCUGUUCAUUGUCUUUUUCCUUCUUUGCAUUAUCCUAAGGCUUUCUAGUGUAUAUCGGGUUGACUCCCUUCUUUCUUUGUCGAUAAUCUUUGUGUUUGCGAAAUCAGCUGUAUGUCCACUUGUUAUGAUGUGUUGUGAUAAUGCUGUACUGCUUUUUUGUUUUCUUAUAUCUGCUUCAUGUUCGCCUAGUCUAACACCUAAAGGCCGCUUAGUUGUCCCAAUAUACACUUUUUGACACUCUGUCGUCAAUAUACACAAAAACUAAGUGCUCAGUAGAUAUCCAACAACAAAACAAUGUAGUGUAUGAAAUUAAAUGUAAGGGAAAUGAAAUUGAGGAAUGCGAAAAAGUGUAUAUUGGGACAACUAAGCGGCCUUUAGGUGUUAGACUAGGCGAACAUGAAGCAGAUAUAAGAAAACAAAAAAGCAGUACAGCAUUAUCACAACACAUCAUAACAAGUGGACAUACAGCUGAUUUCGCAAACACAAAGAUUAUCGACAAAGAAAGAAGGGAGUCAACCCGAUAUACACUAGAAAGCCUUAGGAUAAUGCAAAGAAGGAAAAAGACAAUGAACAGGAAAGAGAUACGGACAACAUUGCGGCCGCUUACAUUUCUUGUUUAUGAUUAGAAAUAAAAAUGUUUAUUAUUUUAGUAUUGACAAAGCUACCACAAAAGAUGGUACAGAUGCGCUGUAUUUAGGUGUUAAUCAAAGUUCUUAAACAUUAUUUAAUAAAGCUGGAUUGCCCCUGAAGAUGCUAAAAAUGUUUUAGCGAAACGUUGGGCCAGAAAGUGGAAUAAUGUAGUUUUAUUCGCACUAAAAACAUAGAUCAGACUAGCCUGGUAACAUAAUAUUUAAUAAAUUAUGAACUGAUCGGGCAAUAAAACAUACAUAUAUUGUCUUUCAUUCACCAAAAUAUUGGACUAAUUGGUCCAUUCCGUUUCAAGAUAUUUGCAGAUUUCCAACUACACUUUCAAAUUUUUUUUUUUUUUUUUCGGAGAAACCAUACCUUCCAGAAAUCCUUCAUAAUUAUAGCACACGAUUAAAAAGAACUGGAAAUCUAUACAAAAAUUUAGUACAGCUUAUGUUCUCUAAGCCUUACAACAAAAACAAUGGAAAAAUAUGUUAGGAACGGUCUAAAGUAAAAUUACAAAUUGUGUGCUUUUUUCAAGCGUUCGGACGCAAAAUAUAAUUUACAUGUAAAAAAAAGAGUCGUAACGUUUACUUUAUUUGUCAAAAUUUUAAUAGAA